UCCCACACUCCUAAUCAUAUGAGCUAAAAUGUUGCACAUUCAAUCUUUGAGAGAUAUAAAGAAAAAUACAUAUACAUAGAUAGAUUAUCUUUCCAUAAGGUUGAGCGAUCUGAUCUGACAAAUGUUAUAAGUGCUACACUCAUGAACUUAUCAUCCAUCAACUUUGUCUUGCUCACUAUGCUUAAGGUUAGAGAAGAACAAAUACACUUUUGGUUCUGUUGGUGUUUUCCACCAACAGGGCCCAUGCACUUGAUCUCUGCCUUGUCUCUAUGAGCAGGUACACUUCGAGCAAAAUAUGGAGGAGUUUUACAACUCCCAGACUCCACCAAGUGAAGAACCUGGAUCUACGAGCAAAAACACACUGAGCAAGAUACUGCUAAUGUCGGACUUCGAACUGCUGGGCAAAUGAAGAACAUGGGUGACACCGUAUCAAGAGGUGCAGACGUCGAGGUCCACACCAGAAGCAAAUGACGCAUCUAAAGAGUAAACACGAUGAGAAGUCUUGUUCACAAGACUUAAAACAUUGAACCCUCGCCGAAAGGUAAAAUCGGUAGUUAUCCAUUUCUAUCCUUUAUGCAUUCCUUUUUCCCGUAAAUUAUUUACUUUCCUUAAAUAGCUUGUUAGUUAAUCAUGCUAUCUUGAAAAGAAAAUAAAAAUGUUUAAAAAUAGUAAGCCCCAUGUGAGUAUGCUCGUGGCAUAAAACCCAUAAGUACAUUCACUGUGGUGGCGUAAAAAUAAAAUAAAUAUAUUCCUGUCCUAUAGAAAUGAAAAUAUAAAAAUAAAUUUAUGAUCCCACCAAAGAGAGUAAUAUUUAUUAGAGGAAGCUCAACAUGAUAAAGGCAAACAGAUUUUUAUGCUAACACUUAACCAGUUCCACAAAGCUUUGUUGUCUAUUUGAGCUCCAUAAAAUUUAAGGAUCAAAGAAGACUAGGAGACGGAGGACAUCCUAAUCGCUGUCAGGGUGCUGCUGACAUACAAAUACACCUCCACCACCGGCUAGCUACAUCAGAAGAGAUUACGUCAAAAUCCAGCUUGGGGGAGAGCACCCCCAUUUAUCCAGCUAAGUGUUUCUACUCGCGUUUAUACUUUACUCAAAUAACAAAAAGAUGCAUAAUCAUAAAAACCUAAAUAAAAAUUUUAUGCUUAUAUAUAUAUCUAUGCUUAGUUUGCUAAAUAAAUAAAUAAAUAAAGUUUGCUAUGAACCCUCAUGAUAAGCUCUCACAUGGAUAUGAUGAAUAUUUGCUCUACCAAGACUAGUUCUCAAAAUUGAAAUCUCUCUUAAGUUUAUGCAUGACUGUUAUGAAUUAAGAUUUACUCUAAACCUGAACUGGUAGGAAGAGUACUUGAUCUAAAGUCUAAGUCGUUAACGGAUAUGAUAUGGGAAGGUUGAGCUACUGCUUAUCUGUUCAUAGAGAUGCUAGAAUUCUGGAGAUUUUUAUCUUUGAAAAUCUUUAAAAUGUUGCAUGAUGAGUUCUUGUAUAAAUCCUACCACAACCAUAUAUACAUGCUUAUUAGACUAUAAACCAUAUAUUUACUUUUACUACUUAUGAGCAUUGAGUGUGGUCAAGCUGUGUAGACCCUUAGGAGCUUGUCAUGCGGUUAAAAUCAAGAUUCACUUGCACGUUCACUCAUACAUGCUGCUUCUACUCUGGAAGUACACAUCCACAUACAUCCACUCAUUUCCAUCUCCAGAUUCACCCAAAAUUAUUCUACUCCUAUCCAAGAGAGAAUAGCCAAAAACAUUAUCCUAUCCCUGUUAUUCCCCGUGAAAUAAAUGCUCAAGAUAUUUUGGUUACUACCACUUGCUACAUUAUUCCUGGAGGGUGAGUGCUCUGAAAAAAAAGUGAAUACGAGGAAAUAAAAAGGGGCAAGUGUCCGGAACCUCGAAGAAAAUAAAAAGUGAGACGAGAGGUAAAAAUGGACAAGUGUGCGACAGUAGAAUUAGGGAUACAAGAUACCCACCUGAGAGAAAAGAAAAAAAAGAAAAGAAAAUAUAGAGCAUCUCAUUCCCCUUAAAAAGCUUCAAAGUGCAAGAAAGGUAUGUAUUCCCUCAAAAGAGCAAAAGUAGAAUUAGACUUUCACCAUUAUUUUCACCAUUAUCACCAUCAUCACCAUAUACCUGUUGACACCAUUUUUGGGCACGUGUCUAGGAUGGCAGGAUAGGGUGGCGGUACGAUGCGGGUUGCUGAUGAGGAUGGUUGCCGAUGAGGGAGAGGUUGAAUGUGACUAAGUCCACAGGCAGUAAUAUAGUGCCGAUGGCUGGAUAAAAAGGUCUGCCGAUGACUAUGGCAAGGGGAUUGCCGAUGAUGCGAAGGAGGAGUCCGGAAGCUGCCAGUUGUCAUGUGGAGGAGUUUCGGUUUGUCACGAAGGAUAGUUUUAUUAUUUCCUUAAUUAUUUGCAUCGUUUUGUAUACGGAUUCCGUGUAAUUUGGAAUUUGAAUUCUAAUCGUGUCAGG
rnacentral:lncRNA from 1 species